CUUCCAAUUGUUUUGCCUAGAGACUUUAAGGCCUAUGACUGCCAGAAUGAAAGAUUGUUACCUCUUUUCCCUUGCUUAUUAAGAUGGCCAGAGGGUGUGAUGGCUCCUACCUGACUGAUACAAUUGAAAUCAAAGACUUGCCAAGUUAUACCAGCAACUCCAGCAAAACUGUGAACUUACUGGCCUUGGAGGACUAUGGAUUGAAACACACAAAACAUCUUUGGCUGUGCAUGCCCUUCACACUGGCUGCCUAGUCCCCUCACAGAAGAUUGUACCAUGUGGUAGUUGGCAAGUGGGCUGGAGCUGCUGCAAUCACGGGGAUGUCUGAUAUUGCAACAAAGGAAGCAAAACAGAGCUAAAUGAAUCCUGUGCAAUGAGGAGGCAUUUUCAGGUAGUGGCCAGAAACUAGAAACUGCUCUUUUCUGGUUAAAAACGUUUGUGACCCAUAAAACCUUCUCACUGCUUACUAAAUAGCACAGUUCUGAGAUACAAACCAGCAAAUUUACAAAUCACAAUGCUUUUCCUGCUGAAUCAAUAGCUGUAGCAAAUAUAUAUAUGUAAAAUGCAAUGGAAAAAUGAAGACCUCUUUAGAAGCCUGCAGAAAAUUUAUACUAGAUAUGAAAGUUUGAGCAAUCACGUAAAAGCCCUAGUCCCUUAACAUUGCUUUUAAGGUCAUCAGUGUCCUGGACGUUGGUGACUUCCCUGCACCCAUUUCUUCACUCCCCACCUUGAACUUCAUGUUUAACUCUUAUUUCUUCCAGUACUUAGUGAACACUGUCUUCUCUCUAAGCCUUUUCCUGGAGGAACAUUCUCUUGUCUGACUUCCUAAGUCUGAGUUAAGUGGUCUCCUAUGUCUCCUCUAAUAAACUUAUUUUACCCUGUCAUUAUUCUUAGUGCACUUAUUUAAUUCCCUGUUUACUAGCUUAUCCUGCUUCUAGGUUACAAGCUCUGGCAUAUCUGUUCUGUUCACCAUUGUAUCCUGAAUGCCUGGCACUUAGAAAGCCUUCAAUAAAUACUUGUUGAAUGGCGUUCAUUGCAGAAGCACUAAAGAAUUUUUGCAUGUUUUUACAUUAAGAAAAAUCUUAGUAGCAGGAUCAGAUCUCAGUCAUAUAGUACACUCAGUUGUGCAAACAUGAUUCCGGUAAUUUAUAUUCUUUAAAUAAACUGAAUUUUAAUUCCAAACUACUAUUUCACUAGGAUGUCAAGAAAUUUCAUCUCAGUCAUUUAGGGGCCAGAUCCUUCCCUGGGAUCUCACAGAACCAGGGAGGUUUAUAUGAGAUCCACGAAAUGGCUGAAAGGGCUCCACUGUCUUUCUGGUACUGCUCCUAGUCCACGCAUGAGGAAAGAAGCCCUGUCAAUCUCUGCUCCUAAGCUACACAGGGUUUCAAUAAUCUGAGCUGCUUCUGGGAAGCCCCUGCCCAGAGCCCUGUCUUCCUAGUUAUUCCUGCAAGGAAUUUGCUCUGAAGCCUGGUCACUGCCACGCCUUCUCCAGUUCACCCUACCUUCAUCAAUUCUGACCUCUUUUUUGAUCUUAGAAAAAUUUUACCUCCUCCACUUCCUUCUCAUUUCUCCCCUGAAUGUACCCUCCCCCUUUCAUUGGCACUUAACCUUUCAAAAUAGGACAGGCCUUAGAAUAACAAAUGCCAGGAAGGCAUCUUGUUCUCAAGCCCCAUAAAUCUCGGGCAAGAAACAUAAACGUCAUGGAUAAUCAGUUACAAAUAGGAAGUGGAAGGAAAUAUACAGAGAACAAAUAUCCAAAAUAAUUUUUCAACAGAGAAGACAACUACAAAAUCCUGCUACUUCUCGAUUUCCUUAUGUAAAGAUUUGGCCAGAUGGCCCAAGAUGUUAAUAAUGUUAGAUACAGGAUUGGAGAUACUGCAGAUGGGCAAAGAUCACA
rnacentral:lncRNA from 1 species